GAUGAACGCUGGCGGCGUGCCUAAUACAUGCAAGUCGAGCGAACAGACGAGGAGCUUGCUCCUCUGACGUUAGCGGCGGACGGGUGAGUAACACGUGGAUAACCUACCUAUAAGACUGGGAUAACUUCGGGAAACCGGAGCUAAUACCGGAUAAUAUAUUGCACCGCAUGGUUCAAUAGUGAAAGACGGUUUUGCUGUCACUGCUAGAUGGAUCCGCGCCGCAUUAGCUAGUUGGUAAGUUAACGGCUUACCAAGGCAACGAUGCGUAGCCGACCUGAGAGGGUGAUCGGCCACACGGGAACUGAGACGCGGUCCAGACUCCUACGGGAGGCAGCAGUAGGGAAUCUUCCGCAAUGGGCGAAAGCCUGACGGAGCAACGCCGCGUGAGUGAUGAAGGUCUUCGGAUCGUAAAACUCUGUUAUUAGGGAAGAACAAAUGUGUAAGUAACUAUGCACGUCUUGACGGUACCUAAUCAGAAAGCCACGGCUAACUACGUG
rnacentral:rRNA from 1 species